UGGGGAAUUUUGCACAAUGGGGGAAACCCUGAUGCAGCGACGCCGCGUGAUUUAGAAGGCCUUCGGGUUGUAAAAAUCUUUUGUAUAGGAAGAAAAUGACAGUACUAUACGAAUAAGGACAGGCUAAUUACGUGCCAGCAGCCGCGGUAAUACGUAAGGUCGGAGCGUUGUCCGGAAUCAUUGGGCGUAAAUGGUACGUAGGCGGGUAAGCAAGUUAGAAGUGAAAUCCUGUAGCUCAACUACAGUAAGCUUUUAAAACUGCUCAUCUUGAGAUAUGGAAGGGAAAGUGGACUUCCUAGUGUAGCGGUGAAAUGCGCAUAUAUUAGUAGGAAUACCGGUGGCGCAGUCUACUUUCUGGCCAUAACCUGACACUGAGGUACGAAAGCGUGGGUAGCAAACAGG
rnacentral:rRNA from 1 species